rnacentral:misc_RNA from 1 species
GCGCUCGGCGACAUGAAGGGCAUCACCCGCUAUGCCAGCGUCCACAUGCCGAUGGACGAGACGCUGUCGCGGGUCGUGAUCGACAUUUCGGGACGGCCGGUGNNNNNNNUCCGCGCGACAAGAUCGGCGAGUUCGAUACCGAGCUGGUGCGCGAAUGGUUCAACGCUUUUGCAAUCAAUGCCGGCGUGACGCUGCAUGUCGAGACGCUGUAUGGCGAGAACAAUCACCAUAUCGCCGAGUCGUGCUUUAAGGGCCUGGCGCGCGCGCUACGGGCGGCGGUCGCAAUCGACCCGCGCGCCGCGGGCGAAAUUCCCUCGACCAAGGGCACGCUCGGCGGCUGAUUUGACCUGAAGCGCAUGCCGGUCAUGCGCUGGACUUCACUUUUGGACCUGCGAGUGACGCACGAUCUUUGCCGGAU